CAUUGCCCUGCCACACACUCCUCCAGGCCUCGGGGCUUGCUCGCCUCUGUGUCAGGAAGUCCCUGCCGGCGGGAGGGGGCCACUCUCCCCAGGACGCCUGCUCUGGCCCCAGAUGCUGCCCUGGGGUGCUUCUUGGACGUGCACCUCUGCGGGCGACAGGAGAAGGUAAGUCAGAGGAGGGAGCAGCAGGGGCUGGGGCAGAGCUGAGCAGAGCACUGGCCCUGCACAGUGCAGGGCCCUGGGGUCCAUCCCCAGCACAGAAAGAGAGGGCAGGGAGGGCAGCCCCAUGUCUGCUGGCACCUCAGGAGGAGGGCAGGCCUGGCCAUCAGGCCCUAAAUCUGCUGAUCACCCGCAAGUGACCGUGAUCAGCCAUCUUCUGGCGGGCCUGCCUCGGUGGCACUAGGAGCUGCAGAAUCUUGCUGCAGGACCCUGCUCCAGGCCCUGGACUGGGUGCGGGCUGUUUCCACGCAUGGGAAGGUACCCCUUGGGCCACCGUCACACUGAUCUGUGAUUCGUGGUGCUGAACCCCAGAGCACCUCCCACUCAGCAGGCACCUGGCUCCUCCCCCCCUUCCCUGGGGCGGGCGGUGGACUCCAUUCACCAGGCUUUCCCCUCCCUAAUGGAUGUGGAUCUGUCCUCUGUGGCCCCUGCAGCCUUCAUGAGAACAUGUUGAAGGAAGAGGCCCCAGGACCAGGCUCAUUAAGGGGACACAGGGACAUCCCAAUCCUGAAGAUCCGAGGGUACUGUGUGCUGGACCGUGGGGAGCCCUUGCCUCAGACUGGUGACCUGUGCCUCGGGUGUCAGGCAGAGUCACAGGACCAUCCCUGCGCCUCUGCUGUGACAGAGCACCCGACAGGCAGCUGGAGCCACACACCGUCCCCUUUCACACUCUGGAGGCUGGAGUCCGGGAUCCAGGAGCCCCCGGCUGGCCCCUCCUGAGGCCUCUCUCUUCCCCUGGCAGACGACAGCUGCUCCCUGUGUCCUCCAGAGGUCACCCUCAGUGGGUCUGUCCUUAUCUCUUCUUGUGAGGACCCCGUUGGGCGGGUGGGGCCCCCCCCACAGCCUCAUUCCUUCAUGGCCUCCACACCCCCCACUUCUUUCUCCACGACCAUGUCCCUGGCUGGGAAGGGCCAUGCCAUGGCUUUGGGUUCUGGCAGAAUUGAGAGAGGGGUGGACAGAGCCUCCUGGCUCUCAGGUGGGCAUCCCCUCUGUCCACAGUCACAGGCCACAGCUGGCUCCCAAGGCCGUGGCUGCUGAAGUCACGACUUGGACAGUGGUCCCCGGGCACAGGCGUCUGUCUCAGAGACGCAGUUUCUCCCUGGCCCUUGGCACCUACGCCGGCUCCUCCACCUUGCUGGCCCCACCUUGCCCAGGCUGAAGAGCAGGCUUGCAGCCUCAGGCUGUCCCCAGUCUGACCCCAGGAGGCUGAGCGGGGACCUGACCUUUGGAUGUGAGUGACCUGAUCCCGCAGGCCUGCUGCCCUCCUUGCAAGGGAGACGGUGGAAGGAAGCCACAUGAGGGCCCUGCCGCCCAGCAGGACCGCAGACCUGAGGUCGGGCCGGGGUCUGGCCGACUGGACAUAAAUGGAGAAAGGAGGCUUGCUUCACGCUCCUGGGCCAAGAUUUCCAUCUGCUACAAAUGGACGGAGAGACAGGUCAAAAGGAGGAAAUGCAUUUCCAUCCUUCAGCCUGACCGGUGUCCAGAAGCAGCUGGUCCAGGCCCAGAAGUAACAAGUUCUGUGAGGCUCGAUAGGACAAUCUGCAUUAGGGGCCACUCCUGAACCCAGGGCCAGAGACGGCGGGUUUAAGUGGUCCUGACACCAGGAGGCACAGCACUGGGAACAGCCUCUUCCCACUGGAGGGACGCAGGUCCUUGGCCUUAGGCCUGUGUGGACCCAGCCCGGUGUGUGAUGAGGGUUGGAGACAGCCCCAGAGUGCUCCGGCGGCCGCCCCUGCAGUUGGAACCCUCCCUCCAGGAGGUAGGACCUGGCCAGCGGCACAAAGGACCCAACUGCCCCAGGAGCAGGCACGGCAUCCAGAAUCGACCACUGAGCCCGACUGCAGCCGCGGCAGACACAUCCAGUCUGUGGGACUUGGCUCCAACGAAAACCAAUUAAAACUGCAGCUCCUCCAGGUCACCGCCUGCUCCCGCCCUGUCACCAUGAUGAGUUUGCCUAUUAGACUCGCAGUUUCUUCCAGAGCAGUUGUGAUUUGCUGUAGCAGCCACAGCACAGAUGAGAAGGGGCAGACGACCUUCCACGAGCCACGGGGCCAAAGACUCACCAGAAACUGUCACACAGAGCGCAGAAGGGUGCAGCAGCUCACCAGCACCCCCACACCCUGGGCUUCCUGCACCCCUGACCUCCCUCCUCCCUGGUUCUCAGGAUGACCUGGGACCUGGCUUUGAAGCAUGCUGGGUACAGCCGGGCUGGCAGUGUCCCGUAACCAGGAGCGAUGUCAUCUUUGCUCUGAAGACAGGGAAACUGAGGCAGGGAGGUCGUGACCUCACCAGGUCAGUGGGAAGUGGUGGUUUCUGACUUGAGAGCCCGCCCUUCAUGUCCUGCACUUCCCCACUCGGCAGGGACAAGACCCCCUGUGUCCCCUGUCCCCCUUGCCUGAGGAGUGCAAGCCAUAGUGGGCUGGCUGCUCACGAGGCCACCGCUGGCGCUCUCACUGACGUGGCUCUACAAGCAAGGGUGGCUGGAGUCCCCGGGGCUUGGGUCAAUAGCGCAGUCGCUGGCCUCGACCCGGCACCAGGGGCUGAACAUCCCCUAUCAGCACCUCCUGCACACGUUCAGCAGCAGAUCUUGAGUAUUAAUUAAUGUUUAUCAAACACAUGCCCAGAGCCCACUAGGGAGCUUGGUCUAAGAGCGCCUCUCCCUGCAGUGCGCACGCGAGGCUCACGAGCGGCUACGGCUGCAGUGUGACUUCAGGACUCACUGGCUUCGGCCUGGAUGGCGGGAGCCGCGAGGAAGCACGAGGCAAGGGGGAGGAGGAGGCCCGGGUCUGGGGCUGCCCCCAGCCCUGCUGCGGGAGGACACAGUCCAGCUCUGUUUCCUCCUCCCCGUGGGUCAGGCAGCAGGGCCCCUCCUGGUGUCAGGACACAGUGCCCAGCUGAUGGGGACCGCCCUGAACUUUCUGGAGACAGAAGUCAUGACACCAAAUUCAUUCUCCUGAAAGCAGAGGGGGCUGGAGGUUUUUUUCUUUUCAUUUUUUUAAAAAAAAAUUUUGUUUUAAGAUUAACGAUCUAGAAAAGGACACAAUGCAAAUCAUGUCAGCAUGUCAACUAUCAGGAGUCUUGGUGCCGUCCCCCUAGAACGUGGCCAAAGGUUCAGGUGGUGUGGGCUGCCAUGCCAGCUCCCGGGGGGACAGUAGCAGAGGGCUAGCCUGGGCUAAGAGGCCAGAGAAAACUGGUCCAGAGAGACGGAGCAUUCGUCCAAGCAACACGGGACAGAGCUCACACGGGACGGAGUUGAAAUAAUGGUAAUUAACCUGCUAAGGGAGCUAGUAGAAAAAGUAGGCCACAUGCAAGAACAGACGGGAAAGGCAGACUGAGGGAUGCAGACCCCAAGAUCCAAUCAAAAAGAAAUGUUAGAAGUUAAAAAAAAAAACAGUAACCAAAAUGAAGACUGCUUCAUCAGCCUCCAGCAGCCCAGCCCAGCCUGAGAGAGAAUCCAGCCCCAGACAGGAAACGGCAGCUGCUCAGAAUGGGGUCCAGAGAGAGCAGAGGGCUGAGGAAAAACUGAGAGGUGAUACCACAGACGUAAGUACGUGUGAUCGGAACACUGGGGAAGGAAGAAAGACUAGAGCAGAGAAAUAUUUGGGGUGACAAUGGGAAAGCACGUCCCAAGUUAAUGAGACCCUAAGACACUCGCAGAAAUCUCAGAGGACACCAAGCACCCAGCUCCCUGGCACACGGUGUUACAGAAAAUCAAAGAAACUUUACUGAAUGAAGCCAGAGGGAUGAACCUUGAGCAGAGCGGAACAGAGGCCACAGCUAGAGGAAAAGGUACAGAGUACUAUGAAAUUUAAAACACAAUAUAAAAAGAAAUAUAUAAAAAUGUAAAACAAAAUAUAAAAAAUUCUAUAGUUAGCCAAACUAUCUUUUCAAGACGAGGGAGGAAUACUUGCUUUUGCAAAAACAAAAAUAAAAACGAAAAAUCAAGACACGGAGGGCGUUCCUGGUCAGCAGACCUGCCCUGUGACUCCAGGUUCUUCAGACAGAAAGAAAACCGUAUGGGUCAGACCCUGGAUUUGCACCAAGGAAGGAAGGUCACCAGAAAAGGAAGACACAAAGGUCACGGAAAACCUGUCAGGUUUCUCGACUGACUAAGGGAUCAUGCUGCUUGUAAAGCGAGGCUGGUAUUGAGGCGGGCACAUGGGGAGGCUGUAGUGGAGGACGGAUGGGUGCAGAGCAACGGUAGGGCAGGAGGGAAGAGGACCCUGUUCUACAGGGGGAGGGGCAAGGGGUGCCGUCAGGGCUAAUGACAAGCGCUCCAUGUGACAAAGGCUUAGCCCUCCAGGAAGGUACCACCGUGCGUUUGGAAGCACCUGGAGAAAGAGCUUAAAAUAGGCCAAACGUGGUCACAGGAAAGGGGGCAGCCAAGCCGGACAGGGUGGUCAGGGACUCAAACGCCCCUCUGUGGGUAAUGGAUGGACCCCGCAGGCAGGAAAUUCCUAAGGACACCGAUGACCUGAGCAGCACCAUCUUCAAUCCAUCUAAGUGACACUUACAGAAGUCCGUCCAGCCACAGCCGAACCCCUUGUGGAGUUCAAGGGAAGCAUUUGCCAAGACAGACCACAAUUAGGCCUUAGUAUGUUUAAAAGAGUGGAAAUCAUACCAACUAUGGAGACAGACUGCGGUGGGAUUAUCUAGCAGCCAAAAAGAUAAGAAGAAGAAGAGUAGCUAGAAAACCCCAAAUACUUGAAAAAUUAAACAACAUUUAAAUAAACUGUGUCCAAAAAUAAGUCUCAAAAGAAAUGAAAGAUAUUUUGAACUAAUGAAAAUAUAACUUAUUAAAACUGGUGGGAUAGAUGAAAGCCAGGCUUGGAGGGACACUUAAAGCACUUAUAUUAAACAGAAGGAAGAUCAGAAAUUGUUGACCUUGGUUUCCACCUUAGGGCGAAAGAGGAAAGAGCCAAAUAAGACUCAAGGAAGAGGAGGAAUAAAAAUUAGAGCUCAGAUCAAUGAAAUCGAGCAGAGGAAAGGAAUAGAGAGCAUCACUGAAACAGAAACCUGUUAUUUUGAAAGUCUUCAAUAAAUUGAUAAACCCCCAGGAAGGCUGAUCAAGACAAAAACAAGAGUUACUGAUACCAGAAAUGCAAAGAGACUCAUGGUUGCUACUCUGUUUGGCAUCUUAGGGAUGCUCCCGUGGACAGCUCCAUGCUCCCAAAUUUGACGACUUAGACCAGUUGUGCCCUCGACGCAAACCACCAGCACUCACACAUGGAGAAAAAGUAACACAAACAGGACCCCGUCUGUUAAAGAAAUCCAACCAAUAUCUUAAAACCCACCAGACAGAAAGUGUGAAGCCCAGAUGGUUUUACUGAUGAUUCCACAAAAUAGGUAAGAGGUGAUCCAGCUCCCCAGUGUCUUCAGUGUCCCCACUGGAUGCAGAGGGACAGGGACCAACUGACUGUGGGAAGGUAGCUGCCCUGGUAUCCAAACCAGCUGGAGGGGCUGCGCAUGCAGCUUGGUGGCAGAGCACUUGCCUUGCACGCGGGAGGCCCUGGGUUUGAUCGUCAGCACCACAUAAAAAUAAAUAUUAAAAAAACCAGGGGCUGGGGCUGGGGCUCAGAGGUAGAACACUUGCCUAGUGUGUGCAAGGCGCUGGGUUCGAUCCUCAGCACCACAUAAAAAUCAAUAAAUGAAAUAAAGGUAUUGUGUCCAACUACAACUAAAAUAUAUAUAUAUUCAAAACCCAGCUGGGUAUAUUACAAGAAAACUAGAAACCGGUAUCUCUUAUCAACAUUGUUAGACCAGGACGCAAGAAAAGACCACUGACUCCAAUUAAAAUCAAAUUAAAGCAAGCUUAUUAUUUCCACCGGCCGGGCUGCCUCCCCCUCCCCAAACGGCGGGAACAAGACAGCAACCCCACCUUUCCUACAGCCCAGCUUUAUAGCCCAGAAAGUUACACAAAGGGAGGGGGUUACAGAUAACAGAACUCUGACGAGCAUCACACUAAUGGUAGUUUACAUUUUUUUUUUUUUUUUGCUGGCCCCAACAUCAGAAUUUAUGAGGACCAUUAGAGCCUCAGAGAGGGUCGUUGUCUGGCCAGGGAAGGCCAAUAUUUAUGAGGUGUCACUAAGUUUCAGAGAGGGCUGCUAUCUGGUCAGAGAGCCAGGCAUGGGUGAGUUCAAGGCACGGGCAGGCAUUCCAAGCAGGUUCAGAGUUUGCAGUAAUUUAUAGUAAAGCCGAAAUUAUCUUUUCGUGGUUUUGUGGGGAGAUGCCCAAUUUUAAGAAAAGAUCAGGUUGGGUCUAUCAACAGAGGCACAAACUGUUAACAAAAUACAAGCAAACUGAACCCACUGAUACACAAAAAGGACAACACAUCACAACCAGGUGAAGGUCAGCCCAGGAACCCAAGAUGGCUCAGUUUUCAUAAAUCAACCUACGUAACUCAUCACCUUGGCACACUAAAUAAAAACAUGAUCUUAUUCAUAAUGCUAAAAAAUUCAACAAGAAAAAGAACAAAGGAGUCUGAUUGGAAAGAAAGACCAAGCUGUUUACUCACAGAGCACAUGAUUGGUGCUGUACCUUGCAUCUAAAGAGCCCGGGUGUUUGGCAAUGCAGGAAUGUUCAGAGGUGACGUGAUUGGAUCCUGAGGGCUGAGACCUCACUGGAUUAACCCAUUGGAUGGAUUAGCAACACAAAUGGAGUGACCAGGUGGGAACUGUGGGCGGGCAGGCGUGGCUGGAGGAAGUAGGUCCUGCCCUGGCUCCCAUCUUGCUCUCUCAGCGCCCCAGUGGCCAUGAGCUGAGCAGCCUCCUGCGUCACACCUCCUGCCACAGCGCUCUGCCUCACCUCAGGCUGACCAUGGUGAACCUCUGAAAGCAUGAACUAAAAUAACCUUCUUCUUCUCUGUGCUGUUCUUGUCAGAUACAGUGACGAAAAGCUGGCAGAUAUAAUUGGCAUGUAGAAAACCCCAAAGAACCCACUAAAAGAACUCCAGAUAAAGAACAAUAUAUAAAAGUCUAUUGAUUUUCUAUAAAUCAACAAUGGGCAACAAAAAUUUCAUAUUUCAAAAGCACCACGUCAUUCACAAUAGCAUCAAAACAUGAAGUUUUAGGUAUAAACUCACAGAGCGUGUGGAUCUGUCUGCAGAAAACUAAGAACCCUAGAGUGACCAGACCCAGCUAAAGGAGAGAGAGUCUGCGCCCUGGAUUAAAAGGCAACAUUGUUGCAAUGUCGGUUUUCCCCAUCUUGAUCUGCAACACAAUCCCAGUUAAAAUCAGCAAACAGGCUGGGCCUGGGCCCAGCGCAGAGCACGUUCCUAGCAUGUGUGAAGCGCUGGGUUCGAUCCCCAGCACCACAUAAAACAACAACAAAAAAUAAAUUAGACAAAGGUAUUGUGUUCAUCUACAACUUAAAAAUAAAAAAGGCCCAGCAAACAUUUUUGUAGAUGUCAACACACUUAUUCUAAAAUUUUUGCAGAAAGACGAAAACCCCAGACGAGCCACAUGGUAUUAAAGAAGAACAAAGUGGAAGCCCUCACACGGCUCGAGCCCGGACUUAGUAAAAACUGCAGUCAUGAAGACAGUGUGGUAUCGGGAAGGAAAAAGAACACACACACACACACACACACACACACACGCACGCACGCGCACACACACACAGAGAAAUGGAACAAAAGAGAGAGCCCAGAAAUAGACCCACAUGAAUGUGAUCAACUCAUCUCUGACAGUGGCAUAGAGACAAUGCCGUGCAGAGAGCACAGUCUUUGCCACAGAGAGUGUGGAGCAAUUAGACACAGAAAAUAAAAGAAUCUAGCUACGAAGACGACAGAACAUUAACUCCCAAUGGAUUAGAGGCCCAAAUGGAUUGCAUCCUGUGGUAUACAGUGCGUUGCAUAGCACAGUGAGACAGUAGAAUAUGCUGUAUAGUAUAGAACAAAAUACACUAUAAAUAUUCCCAAAGGGUACACAAAUAAAAUUUGCACGACCUGGGUUUGGAGAUGAGUUUUUAGAUGUAACAUCCAAACGGUGGCCCAUGCCUGUAAUCUCAGACUCAGGAGGCUGAGGCAGGAGGAUCACAAGUUCAAGAGCAGCCUGGGCAACUCAGUGAGACACUCUCAAAAUAAAAUAAAGAAGGGCUGGGGGUGUAGCUCAGUGGUAAAGUGCCCGGUAUAGAAAAAACUACAGAGAAGUUGAAUUUCAUUAAAAUUAAAAACUUUUGCUCUACUGAAAAAUAAAAAGACAGGCCAUAGAGUGGCAGGAAAUAUAUGCAAAACACAUAUCAGACAAAGGGCUUGUUCACAAAUGUACAAAGAAUUAAAAAAAAUAACAAAACAAAUCAACAAAACCUGGAUUUAAAAUAGGCAAAGGGUCUGAAAAGACAACUUAGUAGGUACCCAGAUGGCAACAGGCCUGACUUAGCUCCGGCCGCGGGGCCUUCAACAGCGGAAAGUUGCUUUCUCACAGUUCUGGGGGCUGGACGUCUGGGGUCAGGGUGCUAGUGGGUGGAUCCUGGCGGGUCCUCUCCUGGCUUGUGGCCUUCCCUCGGGGCACAGGUAGCAUGGAGCACACCUGGGCUCUCCUCCUCCUAGCCGGGCGCUGACCCCAUCGCGAGGCCCCACCCGCAUGUCCUUUUGAGUCCUGGCUCCCUUCCUCGAGGGCCUCCCUCCAAGGGCAGCCCCGGUGGAGCUGGGGGAGCAGACACUCAGACCUGACUGAAGCUUUCGGAAAGAUGCUCAAAGUAACUUGUCACUAGGGAAAAGCAAAUUAAAACAAGGAGACAGCCGCGAAGUUCUCAGAGCGGCUCAGAUCACAGACCCGCAGCCCUGAGCGGCGCAGGCCCCGGAGCAACAGGACGUCUCAGGGCCGCCACCGCGGGUCGUGUGGUAGCUUCUCACAAACCGCGCGUGGCCUUACCGUCGGGUCCAGCAGGCACACCGUGGCAUGUACCCAGAGGAGUCGAAAGCUUACGUCCACGCGGAAGCCUGUGGGGCAUGCAUGGGUCCUCACACCCGCUGAUUCACAACCACCAAGACCGGCAGCAACCAAGAGGCAGGCAUCGGCAGGACAGCGUCCCCAAAAGGAACACAUCAGCAGGCCAGGAACCUCACAGCAGGCUGCUGGGCAAAAGGCAGUGUCCAGAAAGACAAAACUACAAAGACGGUAAAGGCCUGGAGGCUGGGGGCUGGGGAGGGAGGACCAGAUGGUGAGGCCAGGGGUCCUCCGUGGAGCUCUGCACGGGGCAGAGCAGGCAGGACCCUGGGCGCCUGGAAGCGCAGCGUGGGGUUACUUGCAGCAAGAGUGAAGGUUUUCUGACUACAGACGUUACAUGUAUGUGCUCAUUAUCAACAGCAAGUAGGGAAAUAGAGAAUUUAAAGGAAAACCGUCCAUCCUGUACCCUGGCAGCGGUUUCCAUAUGUAUUUUUAAAAUUCGGAAAUCCUUUACAAGUUCUCUGUGAUUUGCAACCUGGGACAGAGGGAAUGCCUGGGGCAACCCCUGGGCCCCACAGCCCUGCAGCAAAGGCCUGUAUGGCUCCAGUCCAGGUUGUCUAGAUGGAGGCGGGGCCUCCGUGUGCCUGUGUGCCUGGGUUGGGGACCAGCCAGUUCCCAAGAGGGAAGCCGGCCCCUAGCCGACCCUAGGCGCUCUGGAAGCAGCUGCUCAAAAUGCAAAUUGUUUCAGUCCUUUCAGGGAGAAAGGAGGAUGGUAAACCCCAAGUGCCAGAGUGAGGGGCCAGGCCACCAGGAGCUAGAGCAGACGACCCUGGGUGAGAGUCUAUCCCUCCAGAGGGUCACUUUCACGGUGAUGCCCACCCCACGUCCUGGGGGGCAAACAGUGUGCUAGGCUCGGGGCACACAAAGACGACACACAUACCCUGUUCCAGGAAAUAAACAGAACCUGCAGUGCCACGUACUCAGUGACAGCCUUUACACACCUGAUACUGUCACCGUAAGUCCUCAGGCGAUCGUGCCCCAUCAGGAAGCCCAAGGCCUGAGAGGCGCCAGGACAUGCGCAGUCCCACAGGCACAGUGGGGCCUGCUUCAGAUUCCGGGUGCUGGGUGGUCUCCACCAGGGAUAUUUGGCCACAUCUGGGGAUGUUUCUCACCGUCAUGAUUUGGGGGUACUACUGACACCCAGUGUGGGAGGCCAGGGAAGCUGCGAACAGCCUAAGUGCUCACACAUCACCAAGAGUGAUCCCGCCCCAACACCAGGCCCCCAGGUGGGCCGUGCUGCAGCCUUGUGCCGGGCGGAGGCCUCGGGAGCUUGAGAGCUGAUGGGCAGCACUUUAAAGGACAAGCAAAGAGAAGAAGAGGCCAGAAGUGGCUCUGAGGAAGCAGUGACCUGCAGGGGGUCAGUAGCACCCAGCCCAGAAGCUAGAUGGCCUGCAUGUGCCUCAGAGGCGCCCAGCGCAGCGUGGCCGAGACCAGCCACCCAGCCUUGGUGGGGCUGGAGCAGGAGAUCAAGGCUCCCCAGGGCUUCUGGGAGGAUUUGCUUCCCAGGGAUUUACUGUCGCCGUGAGCUACAUGAUGACCCCCCAAAGCUAUGCCUGUGUCCUGGGCCCAGAACCUGGGAAACGUCGGCAGACGUCACCAAGUCAAGGUGAGGCCUAAACCAAGGACCAGCGUCCUUAAGAGGCAGAUCCAGAGGGAAGGCCCUGAAAAGACGAGGUCCAGGCCACAUGUGGCAGUGCUGGCCCCUCGUCCCAGCUACUCAGAAGGCUGAGGCAGUAGGAUUGAGGGAGUCCGAGACUAACGGGGCCAACUUAGCAUGGCCACAUCUCAAAAAGAAACUAAUGACUUAAAUUUUUAAGUAAAAUAAAAAGAAAACAGAGGCACAAGGAAUGCCAGGAUUUCUAGUGAGAGUUCAGGAAGGAGUCUCCAUCAGAGCCUCAGACGCGGGACCAACCCACGGCUUUGUCAGCUGGCCCCCAGGACCCGGAGAGCAUACAUUUCUGUUGUUAGGAGCUAUCCAGCUUGUGGUUUAAUGCCCCGGAAAACUAAUAGAACUCUCUUUGCCUUUUGGUCUCAAGUCUUCAGAGGAAAUCGCCCAGGGUAUCAUGAAUUUGGAAACAUUAACAGGAAUAUUCAAUCUGGGAUCCCAGGUCCCCAAUCCCUAUGUCUCCAGUACCUGCUGCUGCAUGUGGGCAGGAGUUGGAAGAAAUUAGUGGUCUCCAGGCACAGAGACGGGCGAUCAAUGCUCAGGAUCAGCUGGCCUGGAAUUCAUAAAGAUCCUUCCUGUAGAGCUGAAAAGAUGUGCCCUCAGUAAGAACACAAGGUUUUCUGAAGAGCCCUUCCCCGAGCCUUUGACCACAGUGAUGAGCCGGGAGGCUGUGCCCAGGCCUCUGGGUAGGUAGGUACGCACAACCAUUUCUGACAUUUUUUUUUUUAAUGUUUAUUUUUUAGUUUUUGGCAGACACAACAUCUUUGUUUGUAUGUGGUGCUGAGGAUCGAACCCGGGCCGCACGCACGCCAGGCGAGCGCACUACCGCUUGAGCCACAUCCCCAGCCCAUUUUUCUGACAUUUUUAAUGUGUUUUUUCAGCUUUUUGCAAAGCAUCUCGACACUCUCAGGCAGGCCAGGCAGGCACCUGCUAUCCCACCCCACAGAUGGGGAGCCUGAGGCCAGGACCUGGGAGGACCUUUGGGGCUCCUCCUGCUGUGUGGAGCAGAAGUGGCCUUCUUGGCUGCUCACACAGAGCAGUGAGCUGGCUGCUCAGCUCUGCCCUGGACGGCAGAUCCCCUCCUGGGCACUGGUGGCCAGGUUGGCACUUCCUCUUCUCUCUUGGACACAGGACAGGCAACCCGUGCAGUCACACAGGGCCUGGGCUUAGAAGGGCCCCGCCUUGGUGUGACGUUCUGCUGGCACCAUCUUAAAAUCCUCACGUCUCUGAGUGUGUGUUUCGUAACUGCAGCCCAGCAGGACAGCGAGUGUGUGCAACAGAGGAGACGCAAGCCAGACUCGAGGUCACCGUCCCUCCACGGGUCCUGUGCAGCAUCGCCCGCAGCCUAACAGGACACAGGGUUCUAGCCGACAUGGGACACCUAGGAGCCUCAGCGCA
rnacentral:lncRNA from 1 species